AUAGAACAAAAGAAGUAUGACUCUCCUCUUCGUGCGGCGGCGUGACGGUGACCUCUGCGUUUCUUCUCAUGACCUGAAACAGUAUGGUUUAUGUCUUCCUCUUUAAUCCCAUUAAUUCGCUCUUCCACGAUGUGUUUUCAAAGCAUUCUUCGAUCUGAAAGGCGGUGUGGUUAAGGUAUAAAUACAUGUGAGAUUCAUCCUCUCGCACUCAUCUUCUCUUCGUAUCUUAUAAAAAAAUACAUUCGAUUCAAAAUGAUCAAGCCUUCUAUUCUGGCUGACCGUCUUCUUCCUGUUGUUGUUCUACGGCUGAAGCAGAGAGGUAUAUGGGGAAGAAGAGGAAGCGAGAGAACAAAGGUCAAUUACUUCCCAUCGGGAAUGACCCGGUUCAUCAUGCUGAGAAGUAUCCAACUCCACCUGCAGUCUACUCUGGGAAACAUGGAUCUGUUAUCAUAUUAAACAUGUAACCUAGAAUUAGCUCAACAAAAAAUUGUAUGUGAAAAAACAUGUCUGUUUCUUUAGAUUAAGGGGUGUUAUUCAAUUAAGAAUUCAAUGUAACUGUAGUUAGGAGUCUUUCAGUGGAUUUGAUUGGAUUCAUGGAAAAGAAAUUCAGUUCCAAACGUUUAAGUUUAA